rnacentral:rRNA from 1 species
GGCUACCACAUCUAAGGAUGGCAGCAGGCGCGCAAAUUGCCCAAUAGCAACACUGCUGAGGCAGCGAAGAGAAAUAGCAACUUCUCGUACUUUGUACGAAGGAGAUUGCAAUGGAUGAUAUCUAAACCUGUCAAUGAGUAUCAAUUGGUGGACAAGUCUGGUGCCAGCACCCGCGGUAAUUCCAGCACCAAUAGCGUAUAUUAAUGCUGCUGCUGUUAAAAAGCUCGUAGUUGGAUCCAGAGUACAGGUUGCAAGGCGGCUCAGUUUGGGUAAACCGGCGUACUGCCGGGAUGCACAGGUUGGGGUAAACCCCUUGCACCAAGACCUGUCCUCUAUGAACGGUGGUAAUGGUGCCUUGCAAGUAGCCAUUUCGGUGGUGAAAGCGCCAACGUGUUAACCAUACGCAUACGGGUCGACCACCGAUGUUACUGUGAACAAACCAGCUUGCCCAAAGCAGGCGUCCGCCGUGAAUGAUAAAGCAUGGAAUAACAAGGGAUCGAUUCUCUCGGCUCUUUUUGUUGGUUCUUAACCCGAGAAGGAAUAAUCAAAACGAUGCUCUUAGCAGGUCUCUUCGGAGUCUUGUUUAAGUCAUCGCUACACGGGAUCAAUAGGGACUGCCGGGGUCGUACGUACUCCUACGUCAGAGGUGAAAUUCUUAGAUCGUAGGAAGACGAACUUCUGCGAAAGCAUUCGACAAGAAUGUCUUCAUUAAUCAAGAACGAGAGUGUGGGGAUCGAAGAUGAUCAGAUACCGUCGUAGUCCACUACUGUAAACGAUGCCGUCUCAGGAUCGAGGGAUGCUCAACCAUGACUCCCACGGCACUACCCCGAAACGAGAAAUCAAAGAUUAUGGGUUCAGGGGGGAGUACAUUCGCAAGGCUGAAACUUAAAGGAAUUGACGGAAUGACACCACCAGGCGUGGAGUAUGCGGCUUAAUUUGACCCAACACGGGGAAUUUUACUAGGUCAGGACAAUGUAAGGAUUGACAGAUUGAGAGCUCUUUCUCGAUCCAUUGUGUGGUGGUGCAUGGCCGCUCCUGGUUGGUGGAGUGAUUUGUCUGGUUGAUUCCGUUAACGAACGAGAUCUCGACCCUUAAAUAGGUGGCUUGUCGCUUAGACUUUUUCUUCGGAAUUAGUCGAGACGAGCAACUACUUCUUAAGGGGACUGCGUGCGACUAUAGCACGCGGAAGAGCGAGCCAAUAGCAGGUCUGUGAUGCUCCUAAAUGUCCUAGGCUGCACGCGCACUACACUGACGCAUUAAACGAGUUUGAUUGCCUUCCGGCAACCUAUCUUGAAGAGGAUGGGAAAUCUUUUGAACUUGCGUCGUGAUGAGGAUCGAUGAUUGCAAUUAUUCUCCUUGAAUGAGGAAUGCCUAGUAGGCGCAAGUCAUCAGCUUGCACUGAUUACGUCCCUGCCAUUUGUACACACCGCCCGUCGUUGCUACCGAUUGGCUGUGGGAUAGAGUUUGGGGGAGGGUGCUCAUUCUUGGCAACAAGCUUGGGCGUCCGAAUCCAAACAAUAUUUCUCAGCUAGAGGAAGCAAGAGUCGUAACAAGGUU